AUGGAUGUUGAGCGGUGCGUGAUUCACCUUGCAAGAAGAAUGAGUCCCCAGACGAGUGGCAGCAGCUCAAUGAACACAACCAAAGAUGAAUCAGAAGUGACAUCAUGGCUAUUAUUUGCAUCCAGAUAUAUGAUUAACAAAAACAAAAAACCACAGGGGGAGAGAGGAAAUGUUACAUGCAAAAUUAUGUACCAUCUAUAUCUAAUGAAAUGAUGAGUUGAAUGAUUUGGAAAGACUCAACGACUCUUCACCAGAUGUUAUUGAAGAACCUGGAGAACCUGUCAGGAAUGAAGUGGAACAUUUGUGGCCUCCUGCUCAUUUUAUCUGUCCCCUUCUGCAUAUCUGUAGGACCUUUUUCUAAGCCCUGUAAUAAAACUAUCAACUACUUAUGUCCUAUUCCUGGCAGCACUUCAAAUAAAGCUGGAAAUAUGGAUAUAUUUAUCCUGGGUAGAGAUGGUUUCAUGGGAUACUUGAAAACAGGUUUAUGCAAUAAUGUUACAGUGAACCUGUCCACUAGUCUGUGCUGUUCCAGUGGAUCGUCAGGUGAGGAGAAACAGAAUGUAGCCCAAACAGCACAUUAAAUAGAGAGUUUCUACUUGCGUGUGUAAACAUUCCUUGAAAAAAUAUAUAUAUAUAUAUAUAUAUAUAUAUAUAUAAAAAACAGCAAUAUUGUGAAGUACUAUUACAAUUUAAAAUACAUGUCUUCUGUUUUAAUAUAUUUUAAAAUGCAAAUUUCUUUUUGUAAAGGAAUAGCUUGAUUUUAAUAGCCAUUACUCCAAUUUUAUGAGUCACAUGAUACAUCUGAAAUCAUUUUCAUGUGUUUUUUUUUUUUUGUUGCUUAAUUAACAUUUCUUNACCCUUGGUUCUUAAUACUGUGUGUGGUUACCUGGAUGAUCCACGACUGUCUUUCUGUUUUGUGAUGGUUGUGCAUGAGUCCCUUGUUUGCUCUGAACAGUUAAACUGAGAAAAGUUCUUCAGAAAAAUCUUUAAGGUCCUGCAGAUUCUUCAGUUUUCCUGCAUAUUUGAACCCUUUCCAGCAGUGACUGUGUGAUUCUGAGAUCCAUGUUUUCACACUGAGGACAACUGAGGCACUCAAACACAACUAUUAAAAAAGGUUCAAACAUUCACUGAUGCUUCAGAAGAAAACAAUGCAUUAAGAGCUGGGGUGAAAACUUUUGAACACGAUGAAGAUGGCCACAUUUUUCUUAUUUUGUUGAAAUAUAUUUUUUUUUCCAUUUAGUUCUGCUCUUCGUAAGCAACAGAAGAUACUUGUAUGUUUCCCAGAACACAAAUUAAGUACAAUUUACCUUGAUCUUCAAAUUCCAAAGGUUUUCACCCCCCAGCUUAAUGCAUCUUGUUUCCUUCUGGAGCAUCAGUGAAUUUUUGAACCUUUUUUAAUAGUUGUGUUUGAGUGCCUCAAUUGUCCUAAGUGUGAAAAGAUGUAUCUCAAAAUCAUACAGUCACUGCUGGAAAGGGUUCAAAUAUGCAAAGAUGCUGGAAAACUGAAGAAUCUGCAGGACCUUAAAGAUUUUUCUGAAGAACAGUUCUCAGUUUAACUGUUCAGAACAAACAAGGGACUCAUGCACAACCACCACAAAACAGAAAGACAGUCGUGGAUCAUCCAGGUAACCACACACAGUAUUAACAACCAAGGGUUCCCAAACUUUUGAAUGGGGUUUUUUGAAUAAUUUCAGGAUUUUUUUGUCUUGUGGACUAAAUGUAAACAUCUUUUAUGUACAAUAUCUUACUCAGGACAGUAUUAAAUAAAAAUAACAUGCAUUUAGUAUGAUCUCUCUUA
ensembl:lncRNA